CUGGCUUUAAUGAGACAUUUGGGUGAACAAGAAAAAAAAAAUAAGUAGGAAAUGGUACCCAGAGCUUCUGGUAUUUUUAUCUUAGCAGAAAAAAGAAGUUUUGAUAAGAAGAGGCCCUUUCUUUGUUCUGCCGGGAUCCAAGCAUUGCAUCACCAUCUCCAGAAGCUGCUGCCUUGUCUGUGCCAGAUGAUAAUUUGGGCAUAGGCACAAAUCAAUACCAGGAAUGGGUGUGCUGGGAGUGUGCACUGCUGCGGAAAGAGGAGAAGGUAACUCAGGAAAGGGGCCCAACUCACUCAGGCACAUUCAUUUUAAUAAAGUUCACAGAAAGGUGAGGAACUUAGAAUCAUUAGCAGCGUUUGGAAAGAGACAAAAACAUGCAAAUGAGCCCAAAGCCUUUACCUAGGACCUCCAGGUUCACAAUCUUGAGACCUUUGGGAUUUUCAAGAGUACUUUCCAUAUGGGAAACAGCCUGGUAUUAAACCAGGGUCACCUGAUGUGGUAGACAACCUCUUAUGGACACGUUGUUCAAUUUCUAGAAAACAUACAGACUUAUUAAAUAAAGGUACAGACUUGGGUGCA
rnacentral:lncRNA from 13 species